CCGUCCUAGCUACUCCCGAGGCUGAGGCGGGAGGAUCACUUGAGCUCGGGAGGUUGAAGCUGCAGUAACUCGAGAUCUCGCCACUGCACUCCAGCUUCUGCGACAGAGCGAGACCGUGUCAAAAAAAAAAAAAAAAAAAAGGCUGACUAGAAACAGCUAGUGUGCGCCACUCUCACAAACAGAAGAAAGUGAUCAUCCAGGUGGACACUCUGGGAUUCAGCGAGGAAACAACACAACCCACGGAGAACAAAGACGAGUAAGACAGGAGAGCCUCCCACCGGGAGUGGUACGGAGCCAGGAGAGGCCCCCAACAUGGGGAAAUGAUUUAAUCCGAAAAGUAUUGAUGGUGUUGGCAUAAA
rnacentral:lncRNA from 1 species